rnacentral:sRNA from 1 species
AGGAAAAGAAAAAAUGGGUAGGUGAUAAAAUCAUUUCCAAGAAGAAAAGGAGAAAGAAGCUGCUGACAUAGAAAAAUGAACAUGUUGUAUAAAACAUGUGGGAUAAAAUAGCAGAAUCUUCUAGAGUGACCACUACCCUGGGGCUGACUAGAACACCUGCUUUGGAGAAUGAAGGGAAGAAUGCUUCUGACUGACUGCUGAAGAACACUGGUCCAAUCUAGUCUUCCUCUUUAGUGGUGACUGCCUGUUGAAACUCCACCCACUUUUAUUCCAAGUUACCACCCAGACCCAGACCCAAGACUUCGAGUUGGCCCACCUCAAAAUCUACAUCAUCUGUGAACUCCUGGAAUUCGUGGAAGGCUUGGCCCUCCUGAUUCAAAGCUGCAGGAUCUCCAUAAUACAAGGCAACAACACGAUAACCAGGAGGAAUCCCUGUGAAGAACCAAUAUUGAUGGUGUAGAAGAAGCCAGAGGUCUUGAACUAGACCAUUGACUUAUUGCAAAGAACAUUUUCAAAUAAAUGUGUUUGGGGAGAGGGGUAUAUUGUGGAACACACUGUGAUACACUAUGGCUUCCAUGAUGAGAUAUUUUCUAUGUUCUGUUGUAUUUUGUUUAUUUUUCAUUUUCUUUUGGGAGGGUUGCAAGAACAGAGGGUUGAUAUGAAGGGACAAAGAGAUGAGUAGGGCUGGGUUAUAUGAUGUGAAACAAUCAAUAAAAUGUUGAAAAAAACCCAUGUAGCAUUUAGAUUUCAGCAUUUCAACAAUUCAAUCAAAAAUAACUUUCUAGUGUCAUUUAAGUGAUUGGCUAUCUCCAAACAGUAGACUUCUUUCCCCCUGGCUGUUAUGUAUCUUGAGUAAAUUAUUAUUGAUUUCUGAAUGUGCAAAUUAGAAUUGGAGAAACUCCAUAGUGUUUUUCUAUUAUAAUUUGAUAAAUUGAGCCAACUACAUGGUCAGUGAAAGAUAGGACAUUAAAAUUACUUUGUUAAAUGGCCUAUAUAUCAAAUCUAAAUGUAGUAUGAACUUGGUUUCACUCUUCAGGCUACCUAUGAGUAAAGACUAAGACAGUGAUACACAAUAGAUCUUGGCUAGUCAUAGCCUAGGUGUAUCCGCCCAUGAAUAGUAAUUAAAAUUUUAUUGGAAUGCACUACUAUUUGAACAAUUAUUGUCUCUGGUUGUUUUGUAUACAGUGGCAGAAUUGAGUGGCUCUGGCAGAUGACAUAUAAAAUAUAGGAAACCUACUAUUUGGAUUUCAGAUAAGCAAUAUACAUAAGACAUCUUUAUAUUAAAAAUUAUUCAAUAUUUAUUUGUAGUCAGUGAGGCCAUAACUUCUAUCCUCGACUGGGACAACCUAGCAUACAAAGCCCAAGAUAGUUAUUACUUGGCUUUUGCUAACUUAAUAUGAAGGAAAAAAUAUGAAGUAUGAAAAAUGUUUCUGAGUUUUAGGUAUACUUUAUGCAGUAAUUUGAUGUACAAUCCUGAACCAGACCAUGAUUCAUAUCUGUAAGAUAAUCUGGUAAUAGUCACCUGCUUCCCAGGGUUGUAUGAAGACAUCUGACAUAUUAAGGGAACACACAUGGAGAAAGGUACAGACAGAAGGGAAAGGGGUUUGGUCUACUUCUCAUAUCAUGCAAUGGAUUAUUAAUGCAAUCCCUAGUCUUUAUAUUCUGUGUGCAGGGCAAGAAGAAAUAGCAACACCACAUGGAGUACAAGUAGAAGGGAGAAGUAUCAUAUCCAGAUGUUACCCACAAAAUUUAACAGACUAAAUAGAAAUUAGAUGAAACACCAGGAAUAUAGCUUUUUAUUUUCUUGCAACAAAUUCAUCCUAGGCAAUAUUUUUCUAUAGAUAAGGAAGAUGCUAAUGUUUUUUCUUGCCUCGAAAACAAAAGUCACUCUUUGGGGAUCAUUCCAUCUUGACAGCUCUAACUUUAGUGAGAAGCAAGGCUGUAUUCUAGAGCAUUGCCAUGUAGGAAUCGCCUUUUGUUUGGAAGUUGAGGGAGCAGCUUGAACAAAAGGAAAGAGGAAGAAGAUGGUGCCUGUUUAUUCUCCCUUUAAACAAGUUUUCCAAACUACCUGACAUCCUGCUAUAAAACACUUGAGGAGGUAUUUGCCAGUCUACCACUACAGGAUGCAUCUGGAAUUGUGACUGAGUGUCACUGUCAAAAUCUGCUCUAAUUGGAACAUUAUCCUGAGCAGAAUGGAGACUAUCUUAUGUCCUUCCAUGAUACUUCAGAUGUCGGUGUACUAAGGCCCGAGAAUUUAUUGUUCAUUUGUUUCCUCAGUGGGUGGUGAUUACCUCGAUAUGAAAUAUUUUUAAUCGUCUCAGUAUUCUCAGCAUGUGGUCCUGUGCUUGUAGGCUCCAGAUAAAUGGUGAUCAAAUGACCUAAAUAAACACGAACCUAACAGAACUA